GCACCUAUAGUAUAGAGGUAAAACGUCGGUCUCCAAAACCGAAGUCAUAGGUUCGACUCCUAUUGGGUGUG
rnacentral:tRNA from 1 species